rnacentral:lncRNA from 1 species
GGGCCGGUCACCGGACGGCCGCCGGAAGUCUGCCGGUGCCGGCGCCGGCCACCGCGUUUUUUGUUUUUUUGUUUUUUUUUUCGAAUAUAUGUGUAUAUAUAUGCUAGAAAUGAGGAAGAAAAGAAGAAAAAAAUGGAUUUAAGAAGAUAAUAGAGAAAAAUAAAAAAACAAAAUCACCUUCCGAUUUAUGUUUUCGUUCCUUGUUUCCCUUUUUUUUGUAUUUUCCUCUGCUUUUUGUAUUCGAUGUAUGCUAUAUGUUGUU